rnacentral:rRNA from 1 species
GAUGAACGCUGGCGGCGUGCCUAAUACAUGCAAGUCGAGCGAACAGACGAGGCGCUUGCUCCUCUGACGUUAGCGGCGGACGGGUGAGUAACACGUGGAUAACCUACCUAUAAGACUGGGAUAACUUCGGGAAACCGGAGCUAAUACCGGAUAAUAUAUUGAACCGCAUGGUUCAAUAGUGAAAGACGGUUUUGCUGUAACUUAUAGAUGGAUCCGCGCCGCAUUAGCUAGUUGGUAAGGUAACGGCUUACCAAGGCAACGAUGCGUAGCCGACCUGAGAGGGUGAUCGGCCACACUGGAACUGAGACACGGUCCAGACUCCUACGGGAGGCAGCAGUAGGGAAUCUUCCGCAAUGGGCGAAAGCCUGACGGAGCAACGCCGCGUGAGUGAUGAAGGUCUUCGGAUCGUAAAACUCUGUUAUUAGGGAAGAACAAAUGUGUAAGUAACUAUGCACGUCUUGACGGUACCUAAUCAGAAAGCCACGGCUAACUACGUG